rnacentral:rRNA from 1 species
CCUACGGGAGGCAGCAGUGGGGAAUAUUGGGCAAUGGGCGCAAGCCUGACCCAGCAACGCCGCGUGAAGGAAGAAGGCUCUCGGGUUGUAAACUUCUUUUUUCAGGGACGAAGCAAGUGACGGUACCUGCGGAAUAAGCCUCGGCUAACUACGUGCCAGCAGCCGCGGUAAUACCUAGGUGGCAAGCGUUAUCCGGAUUUACUGGGUGUAAAGGGCGUGUAGGCGGGAAAGCAAGUCAGAUGUGAAAACCAUGGGCUCAACCUGUAGCCUGCAUUUGAAACUGUUUGUCUUGAGUACUGGGGAGGCAGACGGAAUUCGUGGUGUAGCGGUGAAAUGCGUAGAUAUUAGGAGGAACACCGGUGGCGAAGGCAGUCUGCUGGACAGCAACUGACGCUGAGGCGCGAAAGCGUGGGGAGCAAACAGGAUUAGAUACCCUGGUAGUC